ensembl:lncRNA
AAACAAACAAACAAACAAACAAACAAGCAAUCAAACAAUCAAACAAACAAAACACAAUAACACCACACUUUAUUCAGUAAUAAAAAAAAACUUAAUAUGUAAUAAUCACUUUUUCAGUUGAAUCUAUUUAUAAUUAACUUAUACCCUAUUUAUAACUUAUCUAUAACUUAGUUGUACUUUUUUUUUUUUUUUUUUUUUUUUUUAUACUUCUAUAAAAAUGUGUACAUUGUAAAUUGCAAAAAAAAAAAAAAAAAAACACGCACACUUGAAUGGUCUCUGUAUUAAAAUGAGAAAAUGUGUGUUAAUAGUAACGGUAAUUAUAAUGAUUAUAACAAUAAUAUUUUUGGAACUCGUGAAGACAGUUAAAAUAAAAAAGAACAAAACUUUAAGUAUUCAUAAUAUAUAUAUUACAAAAGAGGUAAAAAAUAAGAGAAUAUUUUUUUUUAUAAAAAGGUUUUUAAAAAAAAAUAUUAUAUAUCAUAAGAAUAAGCAAAAAAAUAAGUAUAAAAAUUUUAAACUCUACAAAGGACGUGGGACAACUUGCUUUUACGAAUGGGUGGAAAAUGAUGAUAAUUUAGAAAUAAAAAUUCGAUUAUCACCAUAUAUAAGUCCAGAAGAUAUACAGUAUAAAUUAAAAUGUGAUUAUAUUUAUGCUAAAUUAAAAACUAAGUCAGAAAGUUUAAUAGAAGGAAAACUAAAAGGUAUUGUUGAUGUUAAUUUAUCUACUUGGUUUGUUGAAAGGUAUAAAGAUUAUAGUAUAUUAAAUAUAUAUUUAAAAAAAAAAAAAAAAGGGAUAGAUGAAUGGGUAGGUAUAAUAGAAAAUGAGGAAAUAUUACAUAUAAGUUAUGACAACCAGUCAUCAAACAAUAAUCAUAACGAUGAUAAUAUAAAUGAUUGUUCAUUAUAUAAUAGUAUGAAUAAAGAAAAUGAAUUAUUAUAUACUCAAGUUUUUGAACAUGUAAAAUAUGAUGAUUUAUAUAAUUUUUUAAUUAGUUGGGUGAAUACAAAAUCGAAUAAUUCAAGCGAAUUUGGUAUACCUUUACUGAAAUUAAAAACAAUAGCUAUAACUAAUGACAGCGAAAUAGAAAUAUUAUUAUCCGCUUAUGGUUUGAAAUGGGAGGCCGAAGAUAGCGUAGUAUUGAAAUUAAGUCAUGCUUCAAAACAUAUUGAAUUAAAUGUUUUAAGAGGUAAGGUUGCCACUGGUAUAAAAGGGGCACAUGGUAAUAUGGUGGCGUAUGUUGUAAAGGAAUGUGAAAAUGCAAUUAUAAAAAAAUUACAGCAUGAUCUGAAAGGUGUUUUUUAUUUGAAUCCUCAAUCUACCAAAGCAACAGACUUAAUGCAUACACAUUAUCCACACGGUAGUUAUAAUUAUACGAUACAUUCCGACGGAGGUGAAAAGCAGGACCACAUAUCAUUGCAUGACGAUGGUUGUAUAAAUACGAGUGAUCACAGCAAUGGUAAUCACAGCAAUGGUAAUCACAGCGAUGGUAAUCACAGCAAUGGCAACCAGAACAAUGGCAACCAGAACAAAAUGAAUUUAAACACACACAACAAUAGCAAUAACAAUAACAAUAACAAAAACAAUAAUAAUAAUAAUAAUAAAAAAGGCAAUACACUCGAAAAUAUAGAAAUAAAAGAAAAUUCAGAUUCAGAAAAACUAAUAAUAAAAGAAUUAAAAUUAAACUCGAAUGUUAAAUUAAGUUGUGAUGAUAAAAGUAAAGAACCUGAAUUUAUGAAAAAUUGGCCUGAAGAAAAAAAAAUAGAAUUUAGAAGAAAUUCAGUUUUAGAAUUAAAAAAAAAUUUAGAAAUAGCGCAAGAAAAUAAACUAACAUUAAAAAUGGAAGAUUAUAUAAAUUAUAUGAAAAAAUGUUUUGAUUUAACUGAAAAUGAAUCGAAACUAGUUUUAAAAAAAGGUAUAAAUAAAUACGAAGAAAAAAAAAAUCGAGAAAACUUUUAUAAAUUUAUUGAAAUUGAAAAUUUGACAGAUAAAAUUAACAUGUAUCCUAUUGGACAGAAUGAUAUAGAUGAGUAUUCAAAUGGGUAUGUGACACAUCGUGAUGGCAAUAGUAGUGCAUCCUUUACAGAUACAUAUACAUAUACGGAUACGGAUAUGGAUACACGUGAUAAUGGUAUGAGUGAUAAUGGCAUGAGUGAUAAUGGCAUGAGUGAUAAU